rnacentral:misc_RNA from 1 species
AUUUCAAGUCGAUAAAAAGAAAAAAGACAAGAAUACGAUCAGAACAUAGAACUUGAUGAUACAAUAUCAACAGAAAUAGUCUUGAUAUACAAUAUUAAAUUAAUUAACAAAUACAAAAAUUACUACAUAAAUGUCUUACAAUGAGUAAAUAUAAUUCUAAACUUAUCUGAAAGGACAGAACUAUCGCUAUUGCAAAGCCUCACAAUCUCUAUGACCAAGGUUCGCCUGGUUCGCUAGAAAAAGGGACGAGAGAGCAACAGCGAUAUUCAAACUCUUCUCUAAAACAAAAAGCAAUUCAACGCCAUCUCUAAUAAUCAGUUUGACACGCCAGAUGGAGUCAUUCGUAUAGCGCAUGUGGGAAUAAGUGACUCGAUUGAUGAGUUAAAUUCUCAAGACAAGACCACACUUGUCGUGUGAUGUGAUAUAUAAGGUGUAAUGAUCGACACUUUUUUUGUGACUAAUAAUGAUGAAUUUUAUUACUCGAGCUCGAAUGAAUAUGACCGUACAGGAUGAACGCCA